GGCUGCGAAUAUUUAGGGUCGGAAUAGUGAGGCGGCCGUCCUAACUCGCUUUCCUGUACAAAUACAGGCAGGGUUAGGACAUCCCAAUAACCCAAAGUUAACUAUGGGUUUCCUUCGUCAUUUGGGUUUCCUUAAAACCUGGAAAUGGCAGAUGUUGUGCUCAGUUCCGGCUUUUUU
rnacentral:telomerase_RNA from 1 species